ensembl:lncRNA
AAGUUUACUGCUUUUGUAAAAUAGCAAUGAUUAUAUCACCUAUCUCUACAUAACAGAGCUGGUGCUUCAAGGAUCAAAUGAGAUUAUGUAUGUGAAAUCACCUUGAAAAGGACCAUGAAUGUAAGACACAAUUGCAGCUGCUGUGAAGCAAAUUUUGGAACAAUGGAUUGAUUCGUUGUAUAAAAGGGGUCAUGAUCUUUCCUUCCAUAAAGAAGGAUCAGGCCAAGAUGCAGAGACAAGGGACCUAUGCUGUGAACUAUUUCACAAGAAAGGAAUGGAGGCAUUGUAUGGGCCACUCCUUGAGGGAAACAAGCAUGAGGCAGGUCAGGAAAAGAAGGAAAGAGGCAGAACUUCCAAAGAACAGAUUUGUCAAGAAGAGGUAGGCACCUCAAAUAAAACUGCUCAGCAAUGGAAUGCUACCGUGUAAUAAAAAAGAAUGAACCACUGAUACACUCAACGACAUGAAUAACUCUCAAACUAUGCUGAAUGAAAAAAGCUGGACACAAAUGAAUACAUUCUGUAUGAUUCCAUUGGCAGAAAACUAGAAAAUGAAAACUAACCUGUAGUGACAAAAAACAGGUCAGUGGUUUUCCUUAUUACAAAGGUCCAUGAGGAAACUUUGGGAGGAAGAUGAAUAUGUUCAUUAUCUUGGUUGUAGUGAUAGUUUCAUGGGUGUGUACGUAUGUCUUGUAAGAUUGUGCACUUUAAAUACGGGAAGUUUAUUGUAGGUCAGUUGUAUUGCUCUAUGCAUGUUAUAUUCCUCUAUAUACAUAUUAUUUCCAGAAAAACAUAAUUUCCAGAAAAAACUGCUGAGCAACAUAGCACAUAAACAGGCAAUGGGC